rnacentral:lncRNA from 1 species
GCGUGGGGUGCGAGCGGGUGAGCGGGGCGACCGGCCGGUGCCCGCUGCAUCCAGAGGGGGCGCUGCAGGCCUCCCUUCGGUUGCGCACGGCCCGGGCCUUCCGCGGCUCUGCAACUCUGCAUCCCGAAAGGUUCGGCGCUGGACCGCGGGGCAUUCAACCCGGGACCGGGGGCGACCCACGGACACUGAGGAAACCACCGCCUAUAAGCCUAUCAUCAGAACCUGUGGCACAACACAGCCAGAAACACCAGCAUCCAAGAUGAAGGCAAUUUUCUGUUUAUGGACUGAGUACCCCACAAAGGAUCUUAUUCUGAAGGCCAUGGAACAUGUCUACCCACAUGGAUCAAGUGGGCAGACUGGAGGAGAAACAGUUUAAAGGCCCUGGGGGAAGCAGGGAGCGCCACGGAGAGCUCCUGAAGACAACAGGAAUUCCAAGUCUGGCACUCGGGAGAAAUCCUCCCUUCAGACAUUAUUGAUGUCUGGCCGAGUAGUUAGG